GUAGGGUGCAAGCGUUAAUCGGAAUUACUGGGCGUAGAGCGUGCGCAGGCGGUUUUGUAAGAUAGAUGUGAAAUCCCCGGGCUCAACCUGGGAAUUGCAUAUAUGACUGCAAGACUUGAGUUUGUCAGAGGAGGGUGGAAUUCCAAGUGUAGCAGUGAAAUGCGUAGAUAUUUGGAAGAACACCGAUGGCGAAGGCAGCCCUCUGGGACAUGACUGACGCUCAUGCACGAAAGCGUGGGGAGCAAACAGGAUUAGAUACCCUGGUAGUCCACGCCCUAAACGAUGUCUACUAGUUGUUGGGAGAGCAAUCUCUUGGUAACGCAGCUAACGCGUGAAGUAGACCGCCUGGGGAGU
rnacentral:rRNA from 1 species